rnacentral:misc_RNA from 1 species
GAGAGAGAGAGAGAGAGAGAAUUUGGUGAUGUUUAGAUUGUUGUUCAAGCUGCUGUUCAAAAAAGCACCACCAUAGAUAUGUUAGUUGCAAGCUAUUAAAGCCUUUAUUAAAUUAAAUUUGACACUUUUUAGCCAUAAGAACCUUUUUUAGCUAAACAUCAGUUUCAAACUGCUUUUACUAACAACAUCUACUUUUACUAGCAACAUCUAAAAGGGUGUUUUUUUCCGAAAAGCAUCUUCUAUGCUCCAAAACACAAUGCCAAACAAGUACUUAAUAGGUUCAAAUGAAAAGCAUUUAACAUGAUAUGAAAAAGAAAAGACACAUAUCUCAAUCUCCAAAUUCUUUCUUAGAAAUCUAAAGGGG